GACAGGCCACCAUGCCGGCCCGGGAUGAUGUCUCACGCGCAUGCGCGGAACCGAACAUGGGAAAACAACAACAACAACAACAACAACAACAACAACAACGACAACAACGACAACAACAACAACAACAUUAAUGGCGCUGCUCUGUACACCCUAAUACGUCGUGUGUUUAAAACAUGGGCAUUCUUCUGGGUUCUUUGUAGUUAAUUCACCUAAAUCAACUCAGGAGAUCAUGACGAUCAUUUUGGCCUUUCAAACUCCACCUCAGAAAGAUCCGAAAGAAAAACCUGGCCAUUCAGCGACGAUGAAUUUACUGUCAUUAUGUUUUGGCCUUGCUUCCUUCACGACACUUCUGAGCCAUGCAGGGUCCAUGUCGCCGAAUCUCUGCCAGGCGUAUUUGACAACAUACGAUUCGUUGAAAGAAACGUUAAAAGCGACACCGUGUGAUUCUUAUCCGAUGGCAUGUGACGUGAACAAUUUCAUGGAGGUUCCGAAGAGAAAUGUGCAGACCAAGAGUCGUGAGUGCCUGGAAAAGAAAAUCGCACAAUUGUUUGCUUAUGUCAUUGGGUCGUCAAAGUGGCUGCCAUACCGUCACUCGAUCUCCGAGAAUUUCGCAUCUGUCAAGAACGGAUGCCGUCUGAAUAAAAAAAAGGUGAAGCAAGAAUGUAAACAAUUACGGAAACUGAACAAAGGUCAUCGUUCGCUCACACAGAAUCAACUCGAUGUCCCCCAAGUGUGUGAACAAUUACUGAAAGUUUCGGAAACUCGUCAUUGCCUCAAAAAGAAAAACGAUUCAGGUGUGUGCAGUGAAAGCUGCAAAGAGACUUGUGCUUGUUUUGAAAAGGUGGAGUGUUUCUUGAAGGAGAAUUUGAUAAAACUUGCACGAUUUUGUCGCCUUCGAGAAUAAAAAGAAUAUUUGUCGCACAGCAUCCCUUCUGUGCCUCUUUGAACAUGUCUUCCCGUGGUCCUACUUCAGGG
rnacentral:lncRNA from 1 species